AUAUAUAUACUACAAAGAAUUGACCGUCAGAUUGUCUCCUUAAACUAAGAACUGUGUCAGUCGAAGCUGCAUAGACAAACGUCAACCGAGCGAGAGAAAGCGCUUCACAAUUUCUUUUGGGAAAAAAGGCCAUGCGCACGUUAGCAUCCCGGCUCACCACUUAUCUGUGUAGAAGAAGACCCGGGCAUGUUCAAUCUCGUAACUUCUCAUCGCACAAUGCGAAAGAUGAGCUCGCUAUUGAACAAGAAGCUGAAAGAAAGGUAGGGUGGUUAUUGAAGUUGAUCUUUGCUGGGACUGCAACUUUCGUUGGUUAUCAGAUUUUUCCUUACAUGGGGGAUAAUUUGGUGCAGCAAUCUGUGUCUCUUUUGAAAGUCAAGGAUCCCUUGUUUAAAAGAAUGGGAGCUUCUAGGUUAGCCCGUUUUGCAAUAGAUGAUGAAAGGAGAAUGAAAAUAGUAGAGAUUGGUGGAGCUCAGGAGCUUGUAAAUAUGUUGGCGGAGGCUAGAGACGAUCGUACACGGAAAGAAGCAUUUAAGGCUCUUGCUGCCCUUUCUGGCUCAGAUGAAGCAGUUGGAGCUUUACACCAUGCUGGGGCAAUGUCAAUUAUAAAGUCCACUCCACAAUCCUUUGAGGAUACAGAAAUUGAGAAAUACAAAUCAAGCCUAUUGAAGAGAUUCCAAGAUCUCAGAUAUGAUAUUCCAUCCUGAGAUUGUAUUAUGAUAAAGGUGGCAUGUUCAACUUUAAAUGUGAGACUCAAUUUUGUUAGAAACAAUCCCUGAAUUUAGAAGAGGCUAUGGUUGUAACGUUGCUGGUUUUAUCCAUGAUCUUGGUAGUUGGUGUAGCUGUGAGGCAGCGGCCAUAUCAGCUUUUCUCAUGCUAGCAUAUGUAUAUUAAUGUGGGUAUGGGCAUGGAUUGUGGAUUGGAUGGUGGAACUGCUAAAGAGAGCUCGCUCUGAUGUUCAAUUUCUUUAGAGGGGCAUAUGAAUUUCUCGAAACAAACCCAUGAAUCUCAUUUCUAGAUUUAUGCUUCUGUAUUUACGGUAAAUUUACAUGUUUAUUAAUUUGAUUUUGAUGUAGAGGUACUAAUGGCACUGAUGAACUUACGAUGAUCUGCGAAGCAGAUUUGUUGGAAUACUAGCCUCUGACUUUUCCCUCUUCAUGAGCGUUUA